GAAGCAGGGGGGACCACCCUCCAAGGCAAAACACAGAUAUCGACCGAUAGCGCAUAGUACCAUGAGGGAAAGGUGAAAAGCACCCCGGGAGGGGAAUGAAAGAGAACCUGAAACCGUAUGUUUACAAGCAGUCGGAGACCGCUUAAUAAUAAGGUCGACGGCGUGCCUAUUGAAGAAUGAACCGGCGAGUUACGAAGCCUGGCAAGGUUAAGCAGGAAAUGCGGAGCCGAAGCGAAAGCGAGUCUUAAGAGGGCGCAAGUCAGGAAGCGUAGACCCGAAACCACAGUGAUCUACCCAUGUCCAGGUUGAAACACAGGUAAAAAUGUGUGGAGGACCGAACCUAUAUCCGUUGAAAAGGGUUAGGAUGAGGUGUGGGUAGGGGUGAAAUUCCAAUCGAACGUGGAGAUAGCUGGUUCUCCCCGAAAUAGCUUUAGGGCUAGCCUCAGGGAAAAGAUUGCAGGCGGUAGAGCACUGAUCAGGAGAGGGACCUACCCGGUUACCAAACCCAGUCAAACUCCGAAUGGCUGCAAUCAUACCUGGGAGUCAGACUGCGACUAAUAAGGGCCGCAGUCAAAAGGGAAACAGCCCAGACCAUCAGCUAAGGUCCCCAAUGCCGUGCUAAGUGGCGAAGGAUGUGGCAUUUCAUAAACAACCAGGAUGUUGGCUCAGAAGCAGCCACCAUUUAAAGAGUGCGUAAUAGCUCACUGGUCGAGAGACGCUGCGCCGAAAAUGUCCGGGGCUCAAGCACGGAACCGAAGCUAUGGCAUGAUAGCAAUAUCAUGGGUAGGGGAGCGUUCUUAUAAGGAAGAAGCAUGACCGGAAGGACAUGUGGACGAAUAAGAAGUGAGAAUGCCGGUAUGAGUAUCGAAAAGAAAGGUGAGAAUCCUUUCCACCGAAAGCCCGAGGGUUCCUGAGCAACGAUCGUCGACUCAGGGUAAGUCGGGACCUAAGCCGAGGCGAGAAGCGUAGGCGAUGGACAACAGGUUGAAAUUCCUGUACCGGAUCAAGUCGAUUGAGCGAAGGAGCGACGCAGGAGGGCACAUGAUCGCGCGGCUGGAAGAGCGCGUCCAAGUGCGUAUGUUGCAGCAGAGGAAAACCCCUGCAGCUAAAAGCAGAGACAUGAAGGGGAGUUAAAGGAAACUUUGACGAACUCAUGGAUCCCACACUGCCAAGAAAAACUUCUAGCGAGACAAGAUCCGCCCGUACCGUAAACCGACACAGGUAGGCGGGGAGAGAAUCCUAAGGUGCGCGGGAAAACCCUCGUUAAGGAACUCGGCAAAUUGCAUCCGUAACCUAGGGAGAAGGAUGGCCCCCGGUCAGUGAAGAGCAGAAACGCUCAGAGCUAAAAGGGGCGGCAGAAAAGAGGCCCAAGCAACUGUUUACCAAAAACACAGGUGCCUGCGAAAGCGAAAGCUGAAGUAUAGGUGCUGACGCCUGCCCGGUGCCGGAAGGUUAAGGAGAGAAGUUAGCGAAAGCGAAGCAUCGAACUGAAGCCCCGGUGAACGGCGGCCGUAACUAUAACGGUCCUAAGGUAGCGAAAUUCCUUGUCGGGUAAGUUCCGACCCGCAUGAAAGGCGUAAUGAUUUGGGCACUGUCUCAACGAGGGGCCCGGUGAAAUUGAAAUACCUGUGAAGAUGCAGGUUACCCGCGACUGGACAGAAAGACCCCAUGGAGCUUCACUGCAGCUUGAGAUUGAAUCCCGGUGACAGAUGCACAGGAUAGGUGGGAGGCGCCGAAGCAUUGCCCUAGGGCGGUGCGGAGCCGAUGUUGGGAUACCACCCUUCUGUUGCUGAGAUUCUAACGCGAGGAGUAACGACCCUGCGGACCCUCUCAGGCAGGCGGUUUGACUGGGGCGGUCGCCUCCGAAAGAGUAACGGAGGCGCCCAAAGGUUCCCUCAGGCCGGACAGAAACCGGCCGAAGAGUGCAAAGGCAGAAGGGAGCUUGACUGCGAGACCAACAAGUCGAGCAGAGACGAAAGUCGGGCUUAGUGAUCCGGUGGUACUGGGUGGAAAGGCCAUCGCUCAACGGAUAAAAGCUACCCUGGGGAUAACAGGCUAAUCUCUCCCAAGAGUUCAUAUCGACGGGGAGGUUUGGCACCUCGAUGUCGGCUCAUCACAUCCUGGGGCUG
rnacentral:rRNA from 1 species